CAAACACUUCAGGAGCUCUGACUGAAAAACGUGAGGUGACUCGCACAUACGAGCUCAAAGUCGUGGCUGAGCAUUUUAGGAAAAAUCUCUUUAACUGGGAGGAGGAGCCGUUUGUAGUCACUCGUUCACACCUGCAGGUUUUAGUGAAUCUGUGUGAAUGUGGGUUGGAGCUUGAGAGCAUCACUGACGCCAUCACUCACGUGAGCCAGGAAAUUACUUUCUGAAGAACACAUACACGACUGCACAAUGGUCUUCCUUUAUGCUUUUUUCAAUAAUGUGAGGAUGUCCUUUAGAUCAUCUCUCUAAAAGUGAUAUUUUUUCUUUUCCUACUUUUUAAAUGCUGUUACUUUUAAACCAAAAAUAGUUGUGAUGUAUUUACAUUGGAAAAAUCAAUAGAAAGGCAUAGGCGUAGUUGGAAAGGCAUAGCUUUACAGUACCAGUCAAAAGUUUAGACACCUAGUCAUUCACAGGUUUGUCUUUGACUAUUUUCUAUGUAGAACAA